rnacentral:rRNA from 1 species
AGCGAACGCUGGCGGCAGGCCUAACACAUGCAAGUCGAACGAACCUUUCGGGGUUAGUGGCGGACGGGUGAGUAACACGUGGGAACGUGCCUUUAGGUUCGGAAUAACUCAGGGAAACUUGUGCUAAUACCGAAUGUGCCCUUCGGGGGAAAGAUUUAUCGCCUUUAGAGCGGCCCGCGUCUGAUUAGCUAGUUGGUUGAGGUAAUGGCUCACCAAGGCGACGAUCAGUAGCUGGUCUGAGAGGAUGAUCCGCCACAUUGGGACUGAGACACGGCCCAAAAUCCUACGGGAGGCAGCAGUGGGGAAUCUUGCGCAAUGGGCGAAAGCAUGACGCAGCCAUGCCGGGUGAAUGAUGAAGGUAUUAGGAUUGUAAAAUUCUUUCACCGGGGACGAUAAUGACGGUACCCGGAGAAGAAGCCCCGGCUAACUUCGUG